AGAGUUUGAUCCUGGCUCAGAACGUACGCUGGCGGCACGCCUAACACAUGCAAGUCGAACGAAGUAGCAAUACUUAGUGGCAGACGGGUGAGUAACAUGUAGGUAUCUACCCUUUGGCCUGGAAUAACACGAGGAAACUUGUGCUAAUACCGGAUAAGUCUUUACAGAGAAAGCUUUAUGCACCAUUGGAUGAGCCUGCACUAGAUUAGUUUGUUGGUGGGGUAAUGGCCUACCAAGACUGUGAUCUAUAGCUGAUUUGAGAGGAUGAUCAGCCACAUUGGGACUGAGACACGGCCCAAACUCCUACGGGAGGCAGCAGUGGGGAAUCUUGCACAAUGGAGGAAACUCUGAUGCAGCGAUGCCGCGUGAGUGAAGAAGGCCUUUGGGUUGUAAAGCUCUUUCGUCGGGGAAGAAAAUGACUGUACCCGAAUAAGAAGGUCCGGCUAACUUCGUGCCAGCAGCCGCGGUAAUACGAAGGGACCUAGCGUAGUUCGGAUUUACUGGGCUUAAAGAGUUCGUAGGUGGUUGAAAAAGUUGGUGGUGAAAUCCCAGAGCUUAACUCUGGAACUGCCAUCAAAACUUUUCAGCUAGAGUAUGAUAGAGGAAAGCAGAAUUUCUAGUGUAGAGGUGAAAUUCGUAGAUAUUAGAAAGAAUACCAAUUGCGAAAGCAGCUUUCUGGAUCAUUACUGACACUGA
rnacentral:rRNA from 1 species